rnacentral:tmRNA from 1 species
GGGGGUGAACGGUUUCGACUCUGGACGUCGAUUCAGUGGGAAGCGUGCCGGUGCAGGCGAGAUGACCACCGUAAGCGUCGCUCGCAAACCAAUAAGCGCCGAAACUAACGUUCGCGCUGACUACGACCUCGCUGCCUAAGUAGCGGGUCGGGUCUGUCGGCCCAGGGAUGCCUCCGCCCUGGAUCCCGGCAUCAGCUAGGAGGACUACCGCCAGCCUCGGUCACGGGGGUUGGUUGGGAAACAAACAGUGACUGGGCUCGUCACACCGGCUUGUUCGCGUGACCGGUGGGGCCAAGUAGAGACAAGGCGGACUGCGCACGGAGAAGCCCUGAUGAAGCGACAGAGGACCCGGGUUCGAUUCCCGGCACCUCCACAG